GAGUGGGCCAAGUGCUUCCGGAACUAAAAGAUAACGGGGCGCCGAGGUAGUAAAGCGUGCGAGGCGUUUGCUAGUUAAACUUUCGUGAUGUCAUUUAUUGCAUUGAAAUAGCCCGAGCCCUUUUCUAAGGUGUUUUUGGAAAAAUUUUCUGCUGGGAUAAAUACCCUUUGACUUUGAAGGGACAGAGCAUUGGAUCUUUGGUGUAGGACUGGAGGGAGUCAGAAGAGCAAGGUGGAUGGCAAGAGAAGGGAAAGUAUAGGAAAAUGUGAAAUAUAUUAUGCAUGAUUAGCUGUAUGAGACCCCUAAUAAAGAAGAGGCUGUAAAUGCCUCCUAAUAAAGAAGGCAUCCUGAAACUAGUAUAUCCAGGGAUAACUAUAUGAGCUAACUUAAGCAUGUCUGCCUUCUGUGGCUUCCCAUUGGGACACUGGAACUCGCAUCUUCACCUCAAUAAUGGGCAACAGCUAGGCGGUUUGCCCUUUUCUUUCUUUCUCUGUUGUUACCAUGGGAAGCUCUAGCUGCCUUAGUAUCUUCGGGUAAGAGACAAGCAUCCAUUUUCCUGUUCUCAAAUCAACGCACAUGU